AUGAACGCUGGCGGCGUGCUUAACACAUGCAAGUCGAACGAGAAAUGGAGACGGAAACCUUCGGGCGGAAGGCUUCAUUUCGAGUGGCGGACGGGUGAGUAACGCGUGGGUAACCUGCCUCAUACAGGGGGAUAACAGUUGGAAACGACUGUUAAUACCGCAUAAGACCACAGCACCGCAUGGUGCGGGGGUAAAAACUCCGGUGGUAUGAGAUGGACCCGCGUUCGAUUAGCCAGUUGGCGGGGUAACGGCCCACCAAAGCGACGAUCGAUAGCCGAUCUGAGAGGAUGACCGGCCACAUUGGGACUGAGACACGGCCCAAACUCCUACGGGAGGCAGCAGUGGGGAAUAUUGCACAAUGGGGGAAACCCUGAUGCAGCGACGCCGCGUGAGUGAAGAAGUACUUCGGUAUGUAAGGCUCUAUCAGCAGGGAAGAAAAUGACGGUACCUGAGUAAGAAGCCCCGGCUAACUACGUG
rnacentral:rRNA from 1 species